rnacentral:rRNA from 1 species
UACGUAGGUGGCAAGCGUUGUCCGGAUUUACUGGGCGUAAAGAGCGCGCAGGCGGUCGUUCAAGUCGCGUGUGAAAGCCCCCGGCUCAACUGGGGAGGGUCACGCGAUACUGAUCGACUCGAAGGCAGGAGAGGGUAGUGGAAUUCCUGGUGUAGCGGUGAAAUGCGUAGAGAUCAGGAAGAACACCAGUGGCGAAGGCGGAUCUCUGGGCCUUGCCUGACGCUGAGGCGCGAAAGCUAGGGGAGCGAACAGG